AAGUCGUAACAAGGUUUCCGUAGGUGAACCUGCGGAAGGAUCAUUAACACUUUUUCAUUUUAUUGAAAAUUCAUUUUUCAAUAAUUUACUUACCCACAUUUUUGGAUGAAUUAUUUCUUUUUUAUUUUUUAUAUCAUUUUUAUACCCCAAACAAAAACUAAAUACUAUAUUAUUUUCUAACAUUUAUACAAAAAAGUUUAAGAAAAACAUAAAAAAACAACUCUUAACAACGGAUAUCUAGGCUCUC
rnacentral:misc_RNA from 1 species